rnacentral:sRNA from 1 species
GCACUAGCAAAAUCUAGUGUCGGGUUUCGCAGCCUGAAUUUAGUAAAGGCGACACAUGACGCGCCAAGCGUCUUUUUU